rnacentral:antisense_RNA from 1 species
GAAGGCACGACAUUGCUCACAUUGCUUCAGUGUUUCUUAGCCAGCUCGGGUGCUGGCUUUUUUUU